rnacentral:rRNA from 1 species
UACGGAGGGAGCAAGCGUUACUCGGAAUUAUUGGGCGUAAAGGGCGCGUAGGCGGCCUGCUAAGUCGAACGUGAAAUCCCUGGGCUCAACCCAGGAACUGCGUCCGAUACUGGUUGGCUUGAAUCCGGGAGAGGGACGUGGAAUUCCAGGUGUAGCGGUGAAAUGCGUAGAUAUCUGGAGGAACACCGGUGGCGAAGGCGACGUCCUGGACCGGCAUUGACGCUGAGGCGCGAAAGCCAGGGGAGCAAAGCGGGG